UACGUAGGGGGCAAGCGUUUGUCCGGAAUCAUUGGGCGUAAAGCGCGUGUAGGCGGUUCGGUAAGUCGGCUGUGAAAGUCCAGGGCUCAACCCUGGGAUGCCGGUCGAUACUGCCGGACUAGAGUUCGGAAGAGGCGAGUGGAAUUCCCGGUGUAGCGGUGAAAUGCGCAGAUAUCGGGGAGGAACACCAAUGGCGAAGGCAGCUCGCUGGGACGUUACUGACG
rnacentral:rRNA from 1 species